rnacentral:rRNA from 1 species
CCCGAAACCGACACAGGUGGUCAGGUCGAGAAGACCAAGGCGCUUGAGAGAACUCUGGUGAAGGAACUAGGCAAAAUAGUACCGUAACUUCGGGAGAAGGUACGCUGUUGAGGGUUAAGUAUUUACUACGUCAGCCCUUGGCAGCCUCAGUAACCAGGCCGCUGCAACUGUUUAUUAAAACACAGCACUCUGCAAACACGAAAGUGGACGUAUAGGGUGUGAUGCCUGCCCGGUGCCGGAAGGUUAAUUGAUGGGGUUAGCGAAAGCGAAGCUCUUGAUCGAAGCCCCGGUAAACGGCGGCCGUAACAAUAACGGUCCUAAGGUAGCGAAAUUCCUUGUCGGGUAAGUUCCGACCUGCACGAAUGGCAUAAUGAUGGCGGCGCUGUCUCCACCAGAGACUCAGUGAAAUCGAAAUCGCGGUGAAGAUGCCGUGUACCCGUGGC